GAGACCCAGAGCAGAUUUCUCUCCUUUGCCUGACCUCUACCAGGAUCUGGAGCCUUGGUGCCAGCAAGGGCCGCCUGUGCCAGUCCCUAUCCUCAGUGAGUCAAGAUGGCUGGGGUUCCCAGCAACCUUACCAGAUGAAUAAGAAAGGUCACUUCCUGACAGGUGCAGGGAUCUCAAGAUAUUCUGCGGAGCUUGAGAAGACAGGACUUCACUCAAAUCUAUAAGUAUUACAGGGCCUUGCACUGGACUGGUCUACAGAGAAGAUUGUUAACCUCAAACUCACCUUAAAGCAAUGCUCAAACAGAGAAGAAGGAUCUCCACAGCAGGACAAGAAAAAGGUGACAUCAGAAGUAGAUGGUUAUCCCAAGAUGCUGGACCAGACCAUCAACCAACAUCUACUCUGGAGUAUGGUGCAGUCGUUAAAUAGAAUGAUGUAGACCUACAUGGACCGACAAGAGAAGAAAUACUGUUAAAGAAGAAAAAGAAAACCAUGUGACCUAGUUUAAGUGUGACUCUCAGAAAUGUCAGACCUCUUCAGAGAAGCUGUCCCCAAUAUCUCUGCAUCUUAAAGAAGUUAACUAUUGUCUAAUAUCCCACAGGUUAGUAGAAUUCACUCUUUCACCUCCCUCUCAU